UUCAGUUGCACUGAACGCCAGUGCAGUUAUUUGUGUGGCUGUCAUAUGAAGUAAGGAAACUGAAUUACUGCACAUAAUGUGUCCAUUAAGCACCACUAAAGAAAAGAAAUCCAACCCCAAAACAGCACAGAGGCCGAUGUUUCGAAGAGGGGGAGGAAGGCAUCUCAUAAAAGCAAACUUUUUACAUUGCUCUUCCCACUGUAAUAAUCGCACCGAAUGAUUGAAAGCAGAGGCUGUGGAGAAUCUCCUUAUUUUUGAAAAUUUCCUUUUAAUCAGCCUUCUCCUUUGAUGUAUCCUCCAAUCGUGACCCAGGCAACCUUGUGGUGAGAGAAACUGUUUCUGAAUUAGCAGAAAGGGUGRAACAGCUCUGAAAUUGGGCUGCAAUGACCCAACUUGCCUUUGCUCCUUGAUGUUUUUAAUUAUCAAUUUUAAUUAUUAAGGCUAAUAAUUGCCAAGGACAGGACUUCUCUGUGGCAUUUUGUGACAACAUCGGAUUUCUGUCUGUCCCUUUGCUGGCAGUGUUCAGUGACCCUCGUGUUGCCCACAGCAGUGAUGACCCAGUUAAGGUCAGUAACAURGAAAGGUGUCGUUGCCAUCAUCGUUACCCUCAUCAUCACCACCUGUAGACUUCAGCAGCCCUUCUAACAAGCAAUUCCUCUUAGCCUAAACCUAAAUAAAAGGACACUUUCCACAGUGACUCCAUUUUUCCCUUAAGGAAAAACUCCCCUCUUUGAAGAGCUUUCCUGUCUACUGGGGAGAAAUUAUGUAAGAUUCCGGUACACCUGUUUUAUAUUCCCUGGAGAUCUGAAUAAUUUUUCUGGACAUUAUGUUUAAAGGCCUUUAGAGGGCAGCCAAGAGGGCGGAACUGAGCUGCUGAAUGUACCUGGCAAUCACCUAGUGUUGUUGUGGGCUCCGUGGGGCGUCGCAUCCAGCCUCCAGCUGCCGUUCUGCAAGCACCUGGGUCUCCUGGAAUCGAACUUUGCUCGUCUAUAGAUGGUCUUACCAGCUGAAAGRCUGGAAAACACUCACGUCAGAGUGAAGUAGAAGCAAGUAAGCCAGCUGUCCAGGCUACUGAAGGUGAAGAUUUCCUGCCUCUAUUCUGUUUUUGCCGAAUAUUGUAUUUCUGCUCCUGCCACACCAGGACUCUUCAUUCGUGCCUCUUCCCAGUCCAAGCCCGCAGAUCCAGAAGACAGAGGCAGCUGCUGUCAGCACCUUGGCUAACUUGGUGAGCUCCCUCUUAAACCAGCUGCAGCAGGAAGAAAGGCAGAGGCGUCCCCUGGUGUUAUGUGUGAGCUCAAAAGCUUCCAGAAGGACAUCUGCUUUUUGUGAGUGACUUAGGGCUGUGAGCUUUCCCAGCGCCUGGACUUGUCACCCGCUGCUCUGCAYGGCUCUGCCUUUCUGUGGUGAGUUAGGAAAAGGAGAAAAACUGCUGAGAGGCUGGAUGGAAGAUGCUGGGAGGACUCCAGGAGAGCSCCAGAUGUGCCCUGUGUUCUGCUUCUAUCUAAUGCAACUCACUCUCCCAAGGGAUGCAGCCUGGGGCCAGGACCUCAUCCACCAGGUGCAGUGUGAUCUCCAGCAGCACAGGAACCUGCUCCCAGGAGCAGGGGCAGGACCUGGAGGAUUUCAGGAUUCAGGAAGCAGUGGAUGGAGCACAGGAGGGCUCAUGGCACUGCAGGAGCCACUCGGGUGACGUGUCCUGUCCUGAAGUGCGGCACUGCCGGCUCUCCCAGCAUGAAUCCAGGCUGGGCUCCGAGGCAAAAGGUCCUGCCCACAUUAAAGAUUUUCCUUCUGCUGCUGGUAACAAACAAGGCAAAGAAGGAAGUGACCCUCUUCCUGAUACCUAGGUUACCUCUGCUUGCAGAGCUUGGCGCACGGACGGGCUGGAAAAUAACCCUCACCAGAGC